rnacentral:rRNA from 1 species
UCGAGGAUCUUCGUCAAUGGGCGCAAGCCUGAACGAGCGACGCCGCGUGCGGGAUGAAGGCCUUCGGGUUGUAAACCGCUGUCGAGGGGGAGAAAGGCCCGCGAGGGCUUGAUCGAUCCCUGGAGGAAGGACGGGCUAAGUUCGUGCCAGCAGCCGCGGUAAGACGAACCGUCCUAACGUUGUUCGGAAUCACUGGGCUUAAAGGGCGCGUAGGCGGCCCUUCGAGUCGGGGGUGAAAUCCCACGGCCCAACCGUGGAAGGGCCUCCGAUACUGAAGGGCUCGAGGGAGGUAGGGGGCAGGUGGAACUUCCGGUGGAGCGGUGAAAUGCGUUGAUAUCGGAAGGAACGCCGGUGGCGAAAGCGACCUGCUGGACCUCUGCUGACGCUGAGGCGCGAAAGCCAGGGGAGCGAACGGGAUUAGAUACCCCGGUAGUCCUGGCCCUAAACGAUGGGUACUAGGUUGUGGACUGGUCAUGGGUUCACAGCCGAAGCAAAAAGUGUUAAGUACCCCGCCUGGGGAGUAUGGUCGCAAGG